rnacentral:tRNA from 1 species
GACUGAAGGGAUGGCUCAGUCAGUAGAGCAUGAGACUUUUCAUCUCAAGGUCGUGGGUUUGAGCCCCACUUUGGGCA